GAUGAACGCUGGCGGCGUGCCUAAUACAUGCCAGUCGAGCGAACAGACGAGGAGCUUGCUCCUCUGACGUUAGCGGCGGACGGGUGAGUAACACGUGGAUAACCUACCUAUAAGACUGGGAUAACUUCGGGAAACCGGAGCUAAUACCGGAUAAUAUAUUGAACCGCAUGGUUCAAUAGUGAAAGACGGUUUUGCUGUCACUUAUAGAUGGAUCCGCGCCGCAUUAGCUAGUUGGUAAGGUAACGGCUUACCAAGGCAACGAUGCGUAGCCGACCUGAGAGGGUGAUCGGCCACACUGGAACUGAGACACGGUCCAGACUCCUACGGGAGGCAGCAGUAGGGAAUCUUCCGCAAUGGGCGAAAGCCUGACGGAGCAACGCCGCGUGAGUGAUGAAGGUCUUCGGAUCGUAAAACUCUGUUAUCAGGGAAGAACAAAUGUGUAAGUAACUAUGCACGUCUUGACGGUACCUAAUCAGAAAGCCACGGCUAACUACGUG
rnacentral:rRNA from 1 species